rnacentral:rRNA from 1 species
GAUGAACGCUGGCGGCGUGCCUAAUACAUGCAAGUCGAGCGAACAGAUGAGGAGCUUGCUCCUCUGACGUUAGCGGCGGACGGGUGAGUAACACGUGGAUAACCUACCUAUAAGACUGGGAUAACUUCGGGAAACCGGAGCUAAUACCGGAUAAUAUAUUGAACCGCAUGGUUCAAUAGUGAAAGACGGUUUUGCUGUCACUUAUAGAUGGAUCCGCGCCGCAUUAGCUAGUUGGUAAGGUAACGGCUUACCAAGGCAACGAUGCGUAGCCGACCUGAGAGGGUGAUCGGCCCCACUGGAACUGGGCCACGGUCCAGACUCCUACGGGCGGCAGCGGUAGGGAAUCUUCCGCACUGGGCGGAAGCCUGCCGGAGCAACGCCGCGUGAGUGAUGAAGGUCUUCGGAUCGUAAAACUCUGUUAUUAGUGAAGAACAAAUGUGUAAGUAACUAUGCACGUCUUGACGGUACCUAGUCAGAAAGCCACGGCUAACUACGUG